GACAGUAGAAUCGGGAAAGAGGAGAGGAGGAAAAAGAAAGGAAAAGAAAGAAAGAAAGGAAGAUGGAGAAGAAGAGAAGGGAAGAGGGAGUUGGUGCUGGAUUUUUUUCUGAGUUUCUAGCAAAAAAGAACACUAACAAGGGGAAAAGAAGGAUUUUGAUCUGAGGUACAAGGAAUUUGAGAGAGAGAAAUGGAGAAGAAGGUGAACAGUAGCAAAAACAGGGGUUCAGCAGAGGCAGCAUGUUUCUCUUCCAUCCAGGAGGAGCUUUUGAUUAUGGUUUUAAGUGGAUGGAAGGUGAUAUUUGCUAGUUAGUAUCAUGAGGUCAGUUUUGCAGGCAAUUUAGGGUGAAUAUUGGGUAUCAGUUUUAUGGAUCUUAGAGCUUCGAUUGGCUAGAAUCCACAGUCUUAGAGAGCAUCGGAAGAAUGAUUAUUCAGUAGAGAUAAAGGUGUGACAUCAUUAUUUUUAAUGACAAAUGAUUGUGAAGGGUUACCAUUUAUGCAGUACAAAAUCACCUUCACAGUAACAUUAUCAGGUCAAGAACUCAUCAAAUGUAAUUUUUGUAAUUUUAAUAAUUUUCAAGGUAGGAAAAAAAAAGAAUCCGACUAAUUAAAGUUGACUGGUUAGAUCUAAUUUCUAGUUUAACUAAUUAAUUUAUCUA